ACUCCUACGGGAGGCAGCAGUGGGGAAUAUUGCACAAUGGGGGAAACCCUGAUGCAGCAACGCCGCGUGAGUGAUGAAGGUCUUCGGAUCGUAAAGCUCUGUUUUCAGGGACGAUAAUGACGGUACCUGAGGAGGAAGCCACGGCUAACUACGUGCCAGCAGCCGCGGUAAU
rnacentral:rRNA from 1 species